CUCGGCAAGCUGGCCGCGGCGGUGGGAGUCCGGCAUCCGCGCUUUGUCUCUGGCAAGGCGUGGACCGUCUCGCCGUCGGUCUGGCCGGCAUGGCCGCGUGCACUUUCCGCUCAGGCAGAGCGCCACGACCGGUUCCCCAUCGGCGGUCAGAAGGCCUGUCAGGAAGGUAGGUGGGCGUCUUACGGCGCUUGCUGUUAUAGCCUGACUCGUCCCGAUCCGCUGGGGGACCGAGGAACCGCCGCGGAGAAGUCGUGGGCCGCUUCGCUCUCUCGGUGAGUCGCGACUGGUGGAGACUGGGCAACCGUGUCCGCCGACCGCUUACCGAGAUGGACGGAGUGUCGUGAGGCCUUUCUUCGCACAGGGUCAGUGGCGAAUCGGUCGGUCCUCCACCCGACCCGUCUUGAAACACGGA
rnacentral:rRNA from 1 species